rnacentral:rRNA from 1 species
GCUGAUCAGCCAGUAGCGUGCAGGAUUGACGGCCCUAUGGGUUGUAAACUGCUUUUGUUGGGGAGUAAAGUGGGGCACGCGUGCCUUUUUGCAUUUACCCUUCGAAUAAGGACCGGCUAAUUCCGUGCCAGCAGCCGCGGUAAUACGGAAGGUCCAGGCGUUAUCCGGAUUUAUUGGGUUUAAAGGGAGUGUAGGCGGUCUGUUAAGCGUGUUGUGAAAUUUAGGUGCUCAACAUCUACCUUGCAGCGCGAACUGGCGGACUUGAGUGCACGCAACGUAUGCGGAAUUCAUGGUGUAGCGGUGAAAUGCUUAGAUAUCAUGACGAACUCCGAUUGCGAAGGCAGCGUACGGGAGUGUUACUGACGCUUAAGCUCGAAGGUGCGGGUAUCGAACA